GAAAAUGAUGAUACUUGUUGUCGCCCCAGUCUUACUUGCAUUUUGAGGUGCAGGAUGGUGAUUGACAUUCCUUGUCUGAUUC
rnacentral:snoRNA from 13 species